rnacentral:miRNA from 1 species
CUAAGUGACCAGUGACAGAAAAGGCAGUCUGCGUUUAUUCUGGAGCUGCAGGUUGUCUCUUCUUUGUCUCCGUCAGUUGG